AAAUAUCAAAAAUUAGAACUACUUUUUUUAGCUUCAGGUGUAUUAGAAGCAAGUUUCAGAAUCUGAUUUUGUUUCAGAUUAUUUAUGGAAUAUAGUAGUUUGAAAGUUUUAAUCUGAUUUUGUUUCAGAUUAUUUAUGGAAUAUAGUAGUUUGAAAGUUUUAAUCUGAUUUUGUUUUAAAUUAUUUAAUUAUGGGAAAGAGUAGCACACAAGUCUCUCUGCACCUAUAAAUACCCCUAUAUAUUGUAGGGUUUUGGAUCAUCUAAACAAAACCUCCUCUCUCUCAAUACCACAACUCUACCUCUCUCUGGUGAUAGUUCUCUUGCUUGAUUUCUAACUCGGUGGUGCCGUUCUUCUGCAACAAUAAGUGAAGGAUGUUUAUAUAGUAUUAAAAAAAUAAAGAUUGUUGCAAGCAAAGGUAGUUAUAGACCGGUAUGUAGGGAACGAAUAAUUCAAACAAGGGAAAAAAAUGCAGACUUGACAUGAUAUUGAUGGAUGAUAUUAAUAAAUUAACUAUUAGUGAUGUAUGUUUGUUGGUUAUUCUUUUAUAAUAUUUGUUUUGUUCAUCGGACAUGUUUGUUGUUGUUAAUUAUUAUAUGAUUAACUUUGUAUAAAGGAAAAUAUGGUGGAGAAGUGAGGGGCUGUAGAUGGCGCCUCCCACAUCGGUCCGUUCUAUUUUUUAAAUUUUAUGGAAUUUUUGGAUGAAAAAUAUCAAAAAUUAGAACUACCUUUAUUAGUUUCGGGUAUAUUAGAAGCAAGUAUCAGAAUCUGAUUUUGUUUUGGAUUAUUUACGGAAUAUAGUAAUUUGAAAGUUUUAAUCUAAUUUUGUUUCAGAUUAUUUAAUUAUAGGAAAGAGUAGCACACAAGUCUCUCUGCA
rnacentral:lncRNA from 1 species